UACGUAGGGCGCAAGCGUUGUCCGGAAUUAUUGGGCGUAAAGAGCUCGUAGGCGGUGUGUCGCGUCUGCUGUGAAAACUCGAGGCUCAACCCCCAGCCUGCAGUGGGUACGGGCAGACUAGAGUGCGGUAGGGGAGAUUGGAAUUCCUGGUGUAGCGGUGGAAUGCGCAGAUAUCAGGAGGAACACCGGUGGCGAAGGCGGCUUGCUGGGCCUUACCUGACGCUGAGGAGCGAAAGCGUGGGGAGCGAACAGG
rnacentral:rRNA from 1 species